ACUUGUGACAAGUGUACAUCAUUAAAUGAAUAUGUUGUUAUCAAGUUUUUAAUAGAUAAAGCUAUGAUAACAACCAUGUGUUGUGGAACAACUGUUGCAGCAGUUUUCUUUCCCUUCAGAACGUUGCUCUACUUAAAGGAAGCAGGAAGGAGAGGUUUUUUCACUGGAAAUGGAAGGAACUAUCACUGUGAAUUGGCAAUGCCUGGAGUGGCUGACACCGUCAUAACUGAACAUUACAAAAGCUGGAUGUCAGUGGUUGCUGAGCAUUGGUUGUUUCAUUCCUCUUUUACUCCAGAAAGUGGCAGUACCCGAAGUCGUAAAGAAAAGGUGUAAGUGCCAUUUUUCAAUUGGAAAUAGAGAUGGCGCGUUUUUUCUAAAAUAAGAAUUUACGAUAAUGAAUUGCUUGGUCAAUAAAUGAAGGAGAACUGGAAGUUAAUUUUCACUGUCUGGAUGUGAUUUGCUUUCCGCAUGUGUGAACUUUGGAAUAUUGCGGUCUGCAACUAAUCAAGCAACAGCACACUGUCUCCAUUCCCAAUGGAAGAAUGGUAUUUUUAUGCUUUUUUUAGGGCCAUAGGUACAACUACUUUCCGGAGCAAUUGAU